rnacentral:rRNA from 1 species
UAUUUUGACUAUACAAAGGUAUUGUAAUAAGAUUUUAAUUGAAUGCUAAGAGAAUGGAAUUACAAGGAAUAACUAUUUUAAACUUAAAAAUUAAAGUUAUUUUAAUUUGUGAAGAAACAAUUAUUAAAAUUAAGGACAAGAAGACCCUAAGAAUUUUAAAAUUAAUAAGUUUUUAUAAAAAAAAAUUAUUGAUUUUUAGUUGGGGCAACUAAAAAAUAUUAUAAACUUUUUUUUAAAUAAAAUGAUCCAUUAUUAAUGAUUAUUUGGAAAAAUACUCUAGGGAUAACAGCGUAAUAAUUUUUGAUAGAACAUAUAGACAAAAUAGUUUGCGACCUCGAUGUUGGAUUAGGAUUCUUUUUUAAUGAAGAUGUUAAAAAAAGAAGUUUGUUCAACUUUUAAAGUCCU